UUCGGUAUAAUCCCCUAUUAUGUACCAAAAUAUUUCCAAACAAAGAUACGAUGUCGAGAAUUUUAAUAUCAUAUACAAUUGGUAUAUAUACUACAAUUCCCUUUCCCUGCUCCCCAGACUAACAUGUAUAUAAACUCAUCUUGCAUCGACAAUAAUUCCAUCCUUGCCCAUCUAUGUAGCCUAUACAUAUACCGUAUUCGUGUAUCAUCAUCAAUCAUCCAACGUCCGACAUCAUAUUUACUCAGUUUUCACGCAACCAACAGGUUGCAUCAUGACAGCAGAAACGGCAGCAAGUGGAGAUAGUUCACAUCGAGGAUAAAAUGGUGGCAGAAUCCUCAGGCUGUUAAUUGGGGUAGGUCGUAGGUGGAAUACAGAAGAGCAACAUUUUCAACAUCGAAAGAAAACCGUGACUGGAAUAUCCUGUACAACAAUAAAUAUUUAUAUACCAGGAAAAAAAACUUCUGAGAGUAAUCGAUUGUUAUUUGUUAAAUAAACACAAACAUUGUGACAAUUCGUAUUGGUUUGUUUAUGACAUUUAUACAUUCCGAAGCGUUUUGAAAUCAAUCCUUUAAGAUACAACUGUGCCAAACUAAAUCAACGGUGGCAAAUAAAAGAACAUAAUAAAACUGUAAAUGACGCAGUGUAGUCGUAAGGAAAUAAAGUUGUACAUAAACAGUAUAGAUCUUGUAGCUUGUAUGUACAUUAAAUACAGAAACAACUAUAUACAUACUAUGAUGACUACAUAUAAGAAAUGUUACGAUAAUAAAUUGAUCGUUUUAUGAAGAUAUAAUAAUAACAUUUAUAUACUUUGGUGAACAAAUACAAGGAAUUCACUCCAUAAAACAUAAAAUUCUUCCGUACAAAAAUAUAUUUUGAUUUAAUACACCAGAAGCAACCGACAUGAAUAUGGAUAUAUACAA